UACUUAGGGUGCGAGCGUUAAUCGGAAUUACUGGGCGUAAAGCGUGCGCAGGCGGCUUUGCAAGACAGAUGUGAAAUCCCCGGGCUCAACCUGGGAACUGCAUUUGUGACUGCAAGGCUAGAGUACGGCAGAGGGGGAUGGAAUUCCGCGUGUAGCAGUGAAAUGCGUAGAUAUGCGGAGGAACACCAAUGGCGAAGGCAAUCCCCUGGGCCUGUACUGACGCUCAUGCACGAAAGCGUGGGGAGCAAACAGG
rnacentral:rRNA from 1 species